rnacentral:lncRNA from 1 species
GAAAGGCAUAGGCCUAUAGACAGGACAGAUGGGAUUAUUGGUUCCACAUGCCAACCGCUGAAAGUUCCGACUAGCGCACAGCGUCCUUCGUCUGGUCCCUCCAUGAGGAGGGGGCUGGCAAUGGCUUGAUUCUGAGUCCUUACCUUUCCUGAAUGAAGAUCUCUCUGAACAGGAAUAGGACCGGGAGCCUAUCCUAUAGAAAGGCGGCCCGCAACCAAUUGAAUUAGUCGAGAAAUCAAAAAAGAAUUCUUUCCGGUCCAAGGCCUUCUUUCUUUUUCUCUUCUCUCUAGCCUGAAGCGGGCGAUUCGAUUACUCGAGAUAAUAUAAGUGAAUACCGGACAAUUUCCUUGAAAUAGACUCGGCUUUUUUUUAAUAGGUUGCUGUAAAAGGAAGUGAGAGUGAGUGCACUACUAGGAGUGACGCUUUGUUUAGGCUUUCCUUGCUAGGUUACAUAU